rnacentral:sRNA from 4 species
GGGAAGGAUGAGAAGCUUCUACCAGGGUUCGAUUCGAGCGCAGCGAGAAAGCGUUGCCGCAGGCAACGACCCGAAGGGCGAAGCGCGCAGCGCUGAGUCAUCCUUCCCCCACCACCA